rnacentral:rRNA from 1 species
UUGCAGUUAAAAAGCUCGUAGUUAGAUUUCGGGCCCAGGUGACCGGUCCGCCGUUUCGGUGUGCACUGGUUAGCUCGGUCUUUCUGCCGGGGACACGCUCCGUCUUAAUUGCCGGACGUGGAGUCGGCGAUGUUACUUUGAAAAAAUUAGAGUGUUCAAAGCAGGCUUACGCUCUGAAUACUAAAGCAUGGAAUAACACGAUAGGACUCCGAGCCUAUUUUGUUGGUCUUCGGGACCGGAGUAAUGAUUAAGAGGGACAGUUGGGGGCAUUCGUAUUACGGUGUCAGAGGUGAAAUUCUUGGAUUUCCGUAAGACGAACUUCUGCGAAAGCAUUUGCCAAGGAUGUUUUCAUUAAUCAAGAACGAAAGUUGGGGGCUCGAAGAUGAUCAGAUACCGUCGUAGUCUCAACCAUAAACGAUGCCGACUAGGGAUUGCAGGAUGUUAAUUCGAUGACUUCUGCAGCACCUUAAGAGAAAUCAAAGUUUUUGGGUUCCGGGGGGAGUAUGGUCGCAAGGCUGAAACUUAAAGGAAUUGAACGGAAGGGCACCACCAGGCGUGGAGCCUGCGGCUUAAUUUGACU